UACAGAGGUGGCAAGCGUUGUUCGGAAUUACUGGGCGUUAAGGGCGCGUAGGCGGCCUACUAAGUCAGACGUGAAAUCCCCCGGCUUAACCUGGGAACUGCGUCUGAUACUGGAAGGCUUGAGGAUGGGAGAGGGAUGUAGAAUUCCAGGUGUAGCGGUGAAAUGCGUAGAUAUCUGGAGGAAUACCGGUGGCGAAGGCGGCAUCCUGGACCAUUACUGACGCUGAGGCGCGAAAGCUAGGGGAGCAAACGGG
rnacentral:rRNA from 1 species